GACGAACGCUGGCGGCGUGCCUAAUACAUGCAAGUCGAGCGAGUCUGCCUUGAAGAUCGGAGUGCUUGCACUCUGUGAAACAAGAUACAGGCUAGCGGCGGACGGGUGAGUAACACGUGGGUAACCUGCCCAAGAGAUCGGGAUAACACCUGGAAACAGAUGCUAAUACCGGAUAACAACAGAUGAUGCCUAUCAACUGUUUAAAAGAUGGUUCUGCUAUCACUCUUGGAUGGACCUGCGGUGCAUUAGCUAGUUGGUAGGGUAACGGCCUACCAAGGCGAUGAUGCAUAGCCGAGUUGAGAGACUGAUCGGCCACAUUGGGACUGAGACACGGCCCAAACUCCUACGGGAGGCAGCAGUAGGGAAUCUUCCACAAAGGACGCAAGUCUGAUGGAGCAACGCCGCGUGAGUGAAGAAGGGUUUCGUCUCGUAAAGCUCUGUUGUUGGUGAAGAAGGACAGGGGUAGUAACUGACCUUUGUUUGACGGUAAUCAAUUAGAAAGUCACGGCUAACUACGUG
rnacentral:rRNA from 1 species